GUGGGGAAUAUUGGACAAUGGGCGAAAGCCUGAUCCAGCCAUGCCGCGUGUGUGAAGAAGGUCUUCGGAUUGUAAAGCACUUUAAGUUGGGAGGAAGGGCAGUAAGUUAAUACCUUGCUGUUUUGACGUUACCGACAGAAUAAGCACCGGCUAACUUCGUGCCAGCAGCCGCGGUAAUACGAAGGGUGCAAGCGUUAAUCGGAAUUACUGGGCGUAAAGCGCGCGUAGGUGGUUUUGUAAGUUGGAGGUGAAAUCCCCGGGCUCAACCUGGGAACUGCCUCCAAAACUGCAUGACUAGAGUACGGUAGAGGGUAGUGGAAUUUCCUGUGUAGCGGUGAAAUGCGUAGAUAUAGGAAGGAACACCAGUGGCGAAGGCGACUACCUGGACUGACGCUCAUGCACGAAAGCGUGGGGAGCAAACAGGAUUAGAUACCCUGGUAGUCC
rnacentral:rRNA from 1 species